rnacentral:misc_RNA from 1 species
GAUGAAGAACGCAGCGAAAUGCGAUAAGUAGUGUGAAUUGCAGAAUUCAGUGAAUCAUCGAAUCUUUGAACGCACAUUGCGCCCCUCGGUAUUCCGUGGGGCAUGCCUGUUCGAGCGUCAUCUACACCCUCAAGCUCUGCUUGGUGUUGGGCGUCUGUCCCGCCUCCGCGCGUGGACUCGCCCCAAAUUCAUUGGCAGCGGUCCUUGCCUCCUCUCGCGCAGCACAUUGCGCUUCUUGAGGGGCUCCGGUUCGCGUCCAACAAGCACAUUUACCGUCUUUGACCUCGGAUCAGGUAGGGAUACCCGCUGAACUUAAGCAUAUCAAUAAGCGGAGGA